rfam:Loxodonta africana unplaced genomic scaffold scaffold_34, whole genome shotgun sequence.
GCCCAGCUAGCUCAGUUGGUAGAGCAUGAGACUCUUAAUCUCAGGGUUGUGGGUUCAAGCCCCAUGUUGGGCA